rnacentral:rRNA from 1 species
CCUACGGGUGGCAGCAGUGAGGAAUAUUGGUCAAUGGGCGGAAGCCUGAACCAGCCAAGUCGCGUGAGGGAUUAAGGCCCUGCGGGUCGUAAACCUCUUUUGCCGGGGAGCAGUGGUCCGGACGCGUCCGGACCGGGGGAGUACCCGGAGAAAAAGCAUCGGCUAACUCCGUGCCAGCAGCCGCGGUAAUACGGAGGAUGCGAGCGUUAUCCGGAUUGAUUUGGUGUAAAGGGAGCGUAGAUGGGUUGUUAAGUCAGUGGUGAAAGUUUGCGGCUCAACCGUAAAAUUGCAAUUGAUACUGGCAGUCUUGAGUACAGUUGAGGUAGGCGGAAUUCGUGGUGUAGCUGUGAAAUGCUUAGAUAUCACGAAGAACUCCGAUUGCGAUGGCAGCUUACUAAACUGCCACUGACAUUGAUGCUCGAAAGUGUGGGUAUCAAACAGGAUUAGAUACCCUUGUAGGC